rnacentral:tRNA from 1 species
GCGCUGUUAGUUUAUGCAGUAAAAUGACGGUUUUCCAAACCGUAGUACCGGAUGCAAGCUCCGGACGGCGCAC